rnacentral:rRNA from 1 species
GGAGGGUGCAAGCGUUAUCCGGAUUCACUGGGUUUAAAGGGUGCGUAGGUGGGCAAGUAAGUCAGUGGWGAAAUCUCCGGGCUUAACCCGGAAACUGCCAUUGAUACUAUUUGUCUUGAAUACUGUGGAGGUCAGCGGAAUAUGUCAUGUAGCGGUGAAAUGCUUAGAUAUGACAUAGAACACCAAUUGCGAAGGCAGCUGGCUACACAAAUAUUGACACUGAGGCACGAAAGCGUGGGGAUCAAACAGGAUUAGAUACCCUGGUAGUCCACGCCCUAAACUAUGGAUACUCGACAUUUGCGAUAAACUGCAAGUGUCUGAGCGAAAGCAUUAAGUAUCCCACCUGGGAAGUACGAUCGCAA